rnacentral:rRNA from 1 species
CCUACGGGAGGCAGCAGUGAGGAAUAUUGGUCAAUGGGCGCUAGCCUGAACCAGCCAAGUAGCGUGAAGGAUGACUGCCCUAUGGGUUGUAAACUUCUUUUAUAUGGGAAUAAAGUGCAGUAUGUAUACUGCUUUGCAUGUACCUUAUGAAUAAGGAUCGGCUAACUCCGUGCCAGCAGCCGCGGUAAUACGGAGGAUCCGAGCGUUAUCCGGAUUUAUUGGGUUUAAAGGGAGCGUAGGCGGGUUGUUAAGUCAGGUGUGAAAGUUUGGGGCUCAACCGUAAAAUUGCAGUUGAUACUGGCAGCCUUGAGUACAGUAGAGGUAGGCGGAAUUCGUGGUGUAGCGGUGAAAUGCUUAGAUAUCACGAAGAACUCCGAUUGCGAAGGCAGCCUGCUGGACUGUAACUGACGCUGAUGCUCGAAAGUGUGGGUAUCAAACAGGAUUAGAUACCCUGGUAGUC